rnacentral:rRNA from 1 species
AGAGUUUGAUCCUGGCUCAGAACGAACGCUGGCGGCAUGCCUAAUACAUGCAAGUCGAACGAGAUCUUCGGAUCUAGUGGCGCACGGGUGCGUAACGCGUGGGAAUCUGCCCUUGGGUUCGGAAUAACUUCUGGAAACGGAAGCUAAUACCGGAUGAUGACGUAAGUCCAAAGAUUUAUCGCCCAAGGAUGAGCCCGCGUAGGAUUAGCUAGUUGGUGGGGUAAAGGCCCACCAAGGCGACGAUCCUUAGCUGGUCUGAGAGGAUGAUCAGCCACACUGGGACUGAGACACGGCCCAGACUCCUACGGGAGGCAGCAGUAGGGAAUAUUGGACAAUGGGGGCAACCCUGAUCCAGCAAUGCCGCGUGAGUGAUGAAGGCCUUAGGGUUGUAAAGCUCUUUUACCCGGGAUGAUAAUGACAGUACCGGGAGAAUAAGCUCCGGCUAACUCCGUGCCAGCAGCCGCGGUAAUACGUAGGGGCCAAGCGUUGUCCGGAAUCAUUGGGCGUAAAGGGCGCGUAGGCGGCCUGAUAAGUCAGAUGUUAAAUCUACAGGCUCAACCUGUAGCCGCAUCUGAUACUGCCAGGCUAGAGAAUGGUAGAGGAAAGCGGAACUUCCGGUGUAGCGGUGAAAUGCGUAGAUAUCGGAAGGAACACCAGUGGCGAAGGCGGCUUUCUGGGCCAUUUCUGACGCUGAGGCGCGAAAGCCAGGGGAGCAAACGGGAUUAGAUACCCUGGUAGUCC